rnacentral:rRNA from 1 species
UACGGGGGGGGCAAGCGUUGUUCGGAAUUACUGGGCGUAAAGGGCUCGUAGGCGGCCAACUAAGUCGGACGUGAAAUCCCUCGGCUUAACCGGGGAACUGCGUCCGAUACUGGAUGGCUUGAGUUUGGGAGAGUGAUGCGGAAUUCCAGGUGUAGCGGUGAAAUGCGUAGAUAUCUGGAGGAACACCGGUGGCGAAAGCGGCGCACUGGACCACAACUGACGCUGAGGCGCGAAAGCUAGGGGAGCAAACAGG